rnacentral:rRNA from 1 species
UGGCGCACGGGUGCGUAACGCGUAGGCAACCUACCGCUCACUGGGGUAUAGCCCGGGGAAACCCGGAUUAAUCCCCCAUACCACACUGGGUUGGCAUCAACUGAUUGUGAAAGAUUCAUUGGUGAGCGAUGGGCCUGCGUCUGAUUAGCUAGUUGGUGGGGUAAUGGCCCACCAAGGCUUCGAUCAGUAGGGGACCUGAGAGGGUGAUCCCCCACACUGGUACUGAGACAGGGACCAGACUCCUACGGGAGGCAGCAGUAGGGAAUAUUGGGCAAUGGUGGACACACUGACCCAGCCAUGCCGCGUGCCGGAAGACGGCCCUCUGGGUUGUAAACGGCUUUUAAUCGGGAAGAAAUGAUUGCUUGCGAGCGAUUUUGACGGUACCGACAGAAUCAGCACCGGCUAACUCCGUGCCAGCAGCCGCGGUAAUACGGAGGGUGCGAGCGUUGUCCGGAUUUAUUGGGUUUAAAGGGUGCGCAGGCGGGAAGAUAAGUCAGGGGUGAAAGACGGCUGCUCAACAGUCGCAGUGCCCUUGAUAC